rnacentral:lncRNA from 1 species
GAUAUUAUUUUCUGUUGUCCGAUUGAAUUUUUGUCGGAGUUAACUCCAAACAUUUGAAUUGUAUCUGAUUCGUUUUUAACUCCAAAGGUUCAUUUUUUAUUUUUCUCAAAUGAAAUCAAAUUAGAUGGUGGUCUCAAAGCAUUACAGAACUCUCUCACAAGAUGAAACUUUCGAUGCCACAAGGUGGAUUGAGGAGGCAUUUAUUGGAUCUACGGUCAAUGGUAACAAUGACAUUCUUGAGAUUUAUUCAAAGGAGACACAUAAAGAAUGAUAAAUUUGAUUGAAAAUACGACAAAAUUUAUGUAUCAGGAUUUUUUUUGUGUUACUAAUAUAUAAGACUUAUGUAUCGGAAUGAGAUCUUAUGUAUCGGAAUGAGAUCUGUGUUUUUGAUACAUAAGAAUUAAGUAUCG